GAAAUGCGAUAAGUAAUGUGAAUUGCAGAAUUCAGUGAAUCCUCGAAUCUUUGAACGCACCUUGCGCCCGCCAGCACUCUGGCGGGCAUGCCUGUUCGAGCGUCAUUUCAACCCUCAGAACCCCUUGCGGGAUCUGGCGUUGGGGAUUGGCAUCCAGCCAGCCCCGAAAUCUAGUGGCGGUCCCUCCGCGACCUCCCCUGUGCAGUAGCGAUACCUCGCAGCGGGACAGCGGUCUGACCACGCCGUAAAACCCCCAACUUCUCAAGGUUGACCUCGAAUCAGGUAGGAAUACCCGCUGAACUUAAGC
rnacentral:misc_RNA from 1 species